rnacentral:rRNA from 1 species
ACGAACGCUGGCGGCGUGCUUAACACAUGCAAGUCGAACGGAAAGGCCCUGCUUGCAGGGUACUCGAGUGGCGAACGGGUGAGUAACACGUGGGUGAUCUGCCCUGCACUUCGGGAUAAGCCUGGGAAACUGGGUCUAAUACCGGAUAGGAGCCAUUUUUAGUGUGAUGGUUGGAAAGUUUUUUCGGUGUAGGAUGAGCUCGCGGCCUAUCAGCUUGUUGGUGGGGUAAUGGCCUACCAAGGCGGCGACGGGUAGCCGGCCUGAGAGGGUGGACGGCCACAUUGGGACUGAGAUACGGCCCAGACUCCUACGGGAGGCAGCAGUGGGGAAUAUUGCACAAUGGGCGCAAGCCUGAUGCAGCGACGCCGCGUGGGGGAUGACGGCCUUCGGGUUGUAAACUCCUUUCGCUAGGGACGAAGCUUUUUGUGACGGUACCUAGAUAAGAAGCACCGGCUAACUACG